rnacentral:rRNA from 1 species
AGCGUACACGGUGGAUGCCCUGGCAGUCAGAGGCGAUGAAGGACGUGCUAAUCUGCGAUAAGCGUCGGUAAGGUGAUAUGAACCGUUAUAACCGGCGAUUUCCGAAUGGGGAAACCCAGUGUGAUUCGUCACACUAUCAUUAACUGAAUCCAUAGGUUAAUGAGGCGAACCGGGGGAACUGAAACAUCUAAGUACCCCGAGGAAAAGAAAUCAACCGAGAUUCCCCCAGUAGCGGCGAGCGAACGGGGAGCAGCCCAGAGCCUGAAUCAGUGUGUGUGUUAGUGGAAGCGUCUGGAAAGGCGCGCGAUACAGGGUGACAGCCCCGUACACAAAAAUGCACAUACUGUGAGCUCGAUGAGUAGGGCGGGACACGUGGUAUCCUGUCUGAAUAUGGGGGGACCAUCCUCCAAGGCUAAAUACUCCUGACUGACCGAUAGUGAACCAGUACCGUGAGGGAAAGGCGAAAAGAACCCCGGCGAGGGGAGUGAAAAAGAACCUGAAACCGUGUACGUACAAGCAGUGGGAGCACAGAGCAAUCUGUGUGACUGCGUACCUUUUGUAUAAUGGGUCAGCGACUUAUAUUCUGUAGCAAGGUUAACCGAAUAGGGGAGCCGAAGGGAAACCGAGUCUUAACUGGGCGUUAAGUUGCAGGGUAUAGACCCGAAACCCGGUGAUCUAGCCAUGGGCAGGUUGAAGGUUGGGUAACACUAACUGGAGGACCGAACCGACUAAUGUUGAAAAAUUAGCGGAUGACUUGUGGCUGGGGGUGAAAGGCCAAUCAAACCGGGAGAUAGCUGGUUCUCCCCGAAAGCUAUUUAGGUAGCGCCUCGUGAAUUCAUCUCCGGGGGUAGAGCACUGUUUCGGCAAGGGGGUCAUCCCGACUUACCAACCCGAUGCAAACUACGAAUACCGGAGAAUGUUAUCACGGGAGACACACGGCGGGUGCUAACGUCCGUCGUGAAGAGGGAAACAACCCAGACCGCCAGCUAAGGUCCCAAAGUCAUGGUUAAGUGGGAAACGAUGUGGGAAGGCCCAGACAGCCAGGAUGUUGGCUUAGAAGCAGCCAUCAUUUAAAGAAAGCGUAAUAGCUCACUGGUCGAGUCGGCCUGCGCGGAAGAUGUAACGGGGCUAAACCAUGCACCGAAGCUGCGGCAGCGACGCUUAUGCGUUGUUGGGUAGGGGAGCGUUCUGUAAGCCUGCGAAGGUGUGCUGUGAGGCAUGCUGGAGGUAUCAGAAGUGCGAAUGCUGACAUAAGUAACGAUAAAGCGGGUGAAAAGCCCGCUCGCCGGAAGACCAAGGGUUCCUGUCCAACGUUAAUCGGGGCAGGGUGAGUCGACCCCUAAGGCGAGGCCGAAAGGCGUAGUCGAUGGGAAACAGGUUAAUAUUCCUGUACUUGGUGUUACUGCGAAGGGGGGACGGAGAAGGCUAUGUUGGCCGGGCGACGGUUGUCCCGGUUUAAGCGUGUAGGCUGGUUUUCCAGGCAAAUCCGGAAAAUCAAGGCUGAGGCGUGAUGACGAGGCACUACGGUGCUGAAGCAACAAAUGCCCUGCUUCCAGGAAAAGCCUCUAAGCAUCAGGUAACAUCAAAUCGUACCCCAAACCGACACAGGUGGUCAGGUAGAGAAUACCAAGGCGCUUGAGAGAACUCGGGUGAAGGAACUAGGCAAAAUGGUGCCGUAACUUCGGGAGAAGGCACGCUGAUAUGUAGGUGAAGUCCCUCGCGGAUGGAGCUGAAAUCAGUCGAAGAUACCAGCUGGCUGCAACUGUUUAUUAAAAACACAGCACUGUGCAAACACGAAAGUGGACGUAUACGGUGUGACGCCUGCCCGGUGCCGGAAGGUUAAUUGAUGGGGUUAGCGCAAGCGAAGCUCUUGAUCGAAGCCCCGGUAAACGGCGGCCGUAACUAUAACGGUCCUAAGGUAGCGAAAUUCCUUGUCGGGUAAGUUCCGACCUGCACGAAUGGCGUAAUGAUGGCCAGGCUGUCUCCACCCGAGACUCAGUGAAAUUGAACUCGCUGUGAAGAUGCAGUGUACCCGCGGCAAGACGGAAAGACCCCGUGAACCUUUACUAUAGCUUGACACUGAACAUUGAGCCUUGAUGUGUAGGAUAGGUGGGAGGCUUUGAAGUGUGGACGCCAGUCUGCAUGGAGCCGACCUUGAAAUACCACCCUUUAAUGUUUGAUGUUCUAACGUGGACCCGUAAUCCGGGUUGCGGACAGUGUCUGGUGGGUAGUUUGACUGGGGCGGUCUCCUCCUAAAGAGUAACGGAGGAGCACGAAGGUUGGCUAAUCCUGGUCGGACAUCAGGAGGUUAGUGCAAUGGCAUAAGCCAGCUUGACUGCGAGCGUGACGGCGCGAGCAGGUGCGAAAGCAGGUCAUAGUGAUCCGGUGGUUCUGAAUGGAAGGGCCAUCGCUCAACGGAUAAAAGGUACUCCGGGGAUAACAGGCUGAUACCGCCCAAGAGUUCAUAUCGACGGCGGUGUUUGGCACCUCGAUGUCGGCUCAUCACAUCCUGGGGCUGAAGUAGGUCCCAAGGGUAUGGCUGUUCGCCAUUUAAAGUGGUACGCGAGCUGGGUUUAGAACGUCGUGAGACAGUUCGGUCCCUAUCUGCCGUGGGCGCUGGAGAACUGAGGGGGGCUGCUCCUAGUACGAGAGGACCGGAGUGGACGCAUCACUGGUGUUCGGGUUGUCAUGCCAAUGGCACUGCCCGGUAGCUAAAUGCGGAAGAGAUAAGUGCUGAAAGCAUCUAAGCACGAAACUUGCCCCGAGAUGAGU